AACGUAGGGGACAAGCGUUAUCCGGAUUUACUGGGCGUAAAGCGCACGUAGGCGGUGCGGUAAGUUGGACGUGAAAGCUCCCGGCUUAACUGGGAGAGGUCGUACAAAACUGCCGUGCUUGAGGCUGAGAGAGGAGAGCGGAAUUCCCGGUGUAGUGGUGGAAUGCGUAGAUAUCGGGAGGAACACCAGUGGCGAAGGCGGCUCUCUGGCUCAGAACUGACGCUGAGGUGCGAAAGCGUGGGGAGCAAACAGG
rnacentral:rRNA from 1 species